rnacentral:rRNA from 1 species
UACGGAGGAUCCGAGCGUUAUCCGGAUUUACUGGGUGUAAAGGGAGCGUAGACGGCAGCGCAAGUCUGGAGUGAAAUGCCGGGGCCCAACCCCGGAACUGCUCUGGAAACUGUGAAGCUGGAGUGCAGGAGAGGUAAGCGGAAUUCCUGGUGUAGCGGUGAAAUGCGUAGAUAUCACGCAGAACUCCGAUUGCGAAGGCAGCAUACCGGCGCCCUACUGACGCUGAGGCACGAAAGCGUGGGUAUCGAACAGG